UACGUAGGGACCGAGCGUUGUCCGGAAUCAUUGGGCGUAAAGAGCGUGUAGGCGGCCAACUAAGUCCUGCGUGAAAUCUCGGGGCUCAACCCCGAGCGGUCGUGGGAAACUGGUUGGCUAGAGUGCGGGAGAGGAGAGUGGAAUUCCUGGUGUAGCGGUGAAAUGCGCAGAUAUCAGGAGGAACACCAAUGGCGAAGGCAGCACUCUGGGACGUGACUGACGCUGAGGCACGAAAGCGUGGGGAGCAAACAGG
rnacentral:rRNA from 1 species